rnacentral:lncRNA from 1 species
AUAUGUCGGUGGGUCUGAAUGAGCAUCAGUCGGUAACUCUGAUAUGCUGGUAGUCAUCAGUCGGAUAUUAACUAAAUCGUCGUGGUUAUCCGUUGAUGGUUGAGAACAGUCGAUUGUCAGUCAAUCAGCGGAUUGUGAGUUAGCGUAUUGUGUUCAUAAAGCCGAUGUAGAGUCGGAGUCGGGGGUUGGUUGAAUUAUCUCAAUAAUAUCUUAUCAAGAUAAGGCUAAUUUUAUAGAUUCCUUGGUGGCUUACAAAAUAUUUGCG